rnacentral:rRNA from 1 species
AUUGAACGCUGGCGGCAGGCUUAACACAUGCAAGUCGAGCGGGGUGAUGGUGCUUGCACUAUCACUUAGCGGCGGACGGGUGAGUAAUGCUUAGGAAUCUGCCUAUUAGUGGGGGACAACAUCUCGAAAGGGAUGCUAAUACCGCAUACGUCCUACGGGAGAAAGCAGGGGAUCACUUGUGACCUUGUGCUAAUAGAUGAGCCUAAGUCGGAUUAGCUAGUUGGUGGGGUAAAGGCCUACCAAGGCGACGAUCUGUAGCGGGUCUGAGAGGAUGAUCCGCCACACUGGGACUGAGACACGGCCCAGACUCCUACGGGAGGCAGCAGUGGGGAAUAUUGGACAAUGGGGGGAACCCUGAUCCAGCUAUGCCGCGUGUGUGAAGAAGGCCUUAUGGUUGUAAAGCACUUUAAGCGAGGAGGAGGCUCUUUUGGUUAAUACCCAAGAUGAGUGGACGUUACUCGCAGAAUAAGCACCGGCUAACUCUGUGCCAGCAGCCGCAGUAA